GAUGAACGCUAGCGGCAGGCCUAAUACAUGCAAGUCGAACGGUAAGGCCCUUUCGGGGGUACACGAGUGGCGGACGGGUGCGUAACGCGUAUGCAACAUGCCUUCCAGCGGGGGAUAUACCAGGGAAACUUGGCGCAAUACCCCAUAGAAUUACGGGACCGCAUGGUCUUGUGAUUAAAAACUCCGGUGCUGGGAGAUUGGCAUGCGUGACAUUAGCUAGUUGGCGGGGUAACGGCCCACCAAGGCGACGAUGUCUAGCUGGUCUGAGAGGAUGAUCAGCCACACGUGGGACUGAGACACGGCCCAGACUCCGUACGGGAGGCAGCAGUAGGGAAUAUUGGACAAGUGGGGGAACCCUGAUCCAGCCAUGCCGCGUGAGGGAAGAAGGUCCUCUGGAUU
rnacentral:rRNA from 1 species